rnacentral:rRNA from 1 species
UACGGAGGGUGCAAACGUUUCUCGGAAUUAUUGGGCGUAAAGCGCACGUAGGCGGCCUAGCAAGUUGGGUGUGAAAGCCCUGGGCUCAACCCAGGAAGUGCAUCCAAAACUGCUAGGCUUGAGUAUCGGAGGGGCUCAGAGAAUUCCCGGUGUAGCGGUGAAAUGCGUAGAUAUCGGGAGGAAUACCAGUGGCGAAGGCGCUGAGCUGGACGGUUACUGACGCUGAGGUGCGAAAGCGUGGGGAGCAAACAGG